AUACGAAGGGCCCGAGCGUUGCGCGGACUUAUUGGGCUUAAAGCGUACGUAGGCGGGCGCGCAGGCGUCUUGUGAAAUCCCUCGGCUCAACCGAGGAAUUGCUUGACGAACCGCGCGUCUUGAAGCAAGUAGGGGCUGUCGGAACGAUAGGUGGAGUGGUGAAAUGCGUUGAUAUCUAUCGGAACGCCAAAGGCGAAGGCAGACAGCUGGGCUUAUUCUGACGCUGAGGUACGAAAGCGUGGGGAGCGAACGGGAUUAGAAACCCCAGUAGUCC
rnacentral:rRNA from 1 species